rnacentral:rRNA from 1 species
UGAGGAAUUUUGCGCAAUGGGAGCAAUCCUGACGCAGCAACGCCGCGUGGGUGAUGAAGGCCUUCGGGUCGUAAAGCCCUGUCAGGUGGGAAGAAUGUCCCGGAACUGAACAGGUUUCGGGAGUGACGGUACCACCAGAGGAAGCACCGGCUAACUCCGUGCCAGCAGCCGCGGUAAUACGGAGGGUGCAGGCGUUAUUCGGAAUUACUGGGCGUAAAGCGCGUGUAGGCGGUCCUGCAAGUCUGCUGUGAAAGCCCCGGGCUUAACCCGGGAAGGGCAUUGGAAACUGCAGGUCUUGAGUACUGGAGAGGAUGGGGGAAUUCCCGGUGUAGAGGUGAAAUUCGUAGAGAUCGGGAGGAAUAUCAGUGGCGAAGGCGCCCAUCUGGACGGUAACUGACGCUGAGACGCGAAAGCGUGGGGAGCAAACA